UUAAGCGACUAAGCGUACACGGUGGAUGCCCUGGCAGUCAGAGGCGAUGAAGGACGUGCUAAUCUGCGAUAAGCGUCGGUAAGGUGAUAUGAACCGUUAUAACCGGCGAUUUCCGAAUGGGGAAACCCAGUGUGAUUCGUCACACUAUCAUUAACUGAAUCCAUAGGUUAAUGAGGCGAACCGGGGGAACUGAAACAUCUAAGUACCCCGAGGAAAAGAAAUCAACCGAGAUUCCCCCAGUAGCGGCGAGCGAACGGGGAGGAGCCCAGAGCCUGAAUCAGUGUGUGUGUUAGUGGAAGCGUCUGGAAAGGCGCGCGAUACAGGGUGACAGCCCCGUACACAAAAAUGCACAUAUUGUGAGCUCGAUGAGUAGGGCGGGACACGUGGUAUCCUGUCUGAAUAUGGGGGGACCAUCCUCCAAGGCUAAAUACUCCUGACUGACCGAUAGUGAACCAGUACCGUGAGGGAAAGGCGAAAAGAACCCCGGCGAGGGGAGUGAAAAAGAACCUGAAACCGUGUACGUACAAGCAGUGGGAGCACGCUUAGGCGUGUGACUGCGUACCUUUUGUAUAAUGGGUCAGCGACUUAUAUUCUGUAGCAAGGUUAACCGAAUAGGGGAGCCGAAGGGAAACCGAGUCUUAACUGGGCGUUAAGUUGCAGGGUAUAGACCCGAAACCCGGUGAUCUAGCCAUGGGCAGGUUGAAGGUUGGGUAACACUAACUGGAGGACCGAACCGACUAAUGUUGAAAAAUUAGCGGAUGACUUGUGGCUGGGGGUGAAAGGCCAAUCAAACCGGGAGAUAGCUGGUUCUCCCCGAAAGCUAUUUAGGUAGCGCCUCGUGAAUUCAUCUCCGGGGGUAGAGCACUGUUUCGGCAAGGGGGUCAUCCCGACUUACCAACCCGAUGCAAACUGCGAAUACCGGAGAAUGUUAUCACGGGAGACACACGGCGGGUGCUAACGUCCGUCGUGAAGAGGGAAACAACCCAGACCGCCAGCUAAGGUCCCAAAGUCAUGGUUAAGUGGGAAACGAUGUGGGAAGGCCCAGACAGCCCGGAUGUUGGCUUAGAAGCAGCCAUCAUUUAAAGAAAGCGUAAUAGCUCACUGGUCGAGUCGGCCUGCGCGGAAGAUGUAACGGGGCUAAACCAUGCACCGAAGCUGCGGCAGCGACGCUUAUGCGUUGUUGGGUAGGGGAGCGUUCUGUAAGCCUGUGAAGGUGUGCUGUGAGGCAUGCUGGAGGUAUCAGAAGUGCGAAUGCUGACAUAAGUAACGAUAAAGCGGGUGAAAAGCCCGCUCGCCGGAAGACCAAGGGUUCCUGUCCAACGUUAAUCGGGGCAGGGUGAGUCGACCCCUAAGGCGAGGCCGAAAGGCGUAGUCGAUGGGAAACAGGUUAAUAUUCCUGUACUUGGUGUUACUGCGAAGGGGGGACGGAGAAGGCUAUGUUGGCCGGGCGACGGUUGUCCCGGUUUAAGCGUGUAGGCUGGUUUUCCAGGCAAAUCCGGAAAAUCAAGGCUGAGGCGUGAUGACGAGGCACUACGGUGCUGAAGCAACAAAUGCCCUGCUUCCAGGAAAAGCCUCUAAGCAUCAGGUAACAUCGAAUCGUACCCCAAACCGACACAGGUGGUCAGGUAGAGAAUACCAAGGCGCUUGAGAGAACUCGGGUGAAGGAACUAGGCAAAAUGGUGCCGUAACUUCGGGAGAAGGCACGCUGAUAUGUAGGUGAAGCGACUUGCUCGUGGAGCUGAAAUCAGUCGAAGAUACCAGCUGGCUGCAACUGUUUAUUAAAAACACAGCACUGUGCAAACACGAAAGUGGACGUAUACGGUGUGACGCCUGCCCGGUGCCGGAAGGUUAAUUGAUGGGGUCAGCGCAAGCGAAGCUCUUGAUCGAAGCCCCGGUAAACGGCGGCCGUAACUAUAACGGUCCUAAGGUAGCGAAAUUCCUUGUCGGGUAAGUUCCGACCUGCACGAAUGGCGUAAUGAUGGCCAGGCUGUCUCCACCCGAGACUCAGUGAAAUUGAACUCGCUGUGAAGAUGCAGUGUACCCGCGGCAAGACGGAAAGACCCCGUGAACCUUUACUAUAGCUUGACACUGAACAUUGAGCCUUGAUGUGUAGGAUAGGUGGGAGGCUUAGAAGUGUGGACGCCAGUCUGCAUGGAGCCGACCUUGAAAUACCACCCUUUAAUGUUUGAUGUUCUAACGUUGACCCGUAAUCCGGGUUGCGGACAGUGUCUGGUGGGUAGUUUGACUGGGGCGGUCUCCUCCUAAAGAGUAACGGAGGAGCACGAAGGUUGGCUAAUCCUGGUCGGACAUCAGGAGGUUAGUGCAAUGGCAUAAGCCAGCUUGACUGCGAGCGUGACGGCGCGAGCAGGUGCGAAAGCAGGUCAUAGUGAUCCGGUGGUUCUGAAUGGAAGGGCCAUCGCUCAACGGAUAAAAGGUACUCCGGGGAUAACAGGCUGAUACCGCCCAAGAGUUCAUAUCGACGGCGGUGUUUGGCACCUCGAUGUCGGCUCAUCACAUCCUGGGGCUGAAGUAGGUCCCAAGGGUAUGGCUGUUCGCCAUUUAAAGUGGUACGCGAGCUGGGUUUAGAACGUCGUGAGACAGUUCGGUCCCUAUCUGCCGUGGGCGCUGGAGAACUGAGGGGGGCUGCUCCUAGUACGAGAGGACCGGAGUGGACGCAUCACUGGUGUUCGGGUUGUCAUGCCAAUGGCACUGCCCGGUAGCUAAAUGCGGAAGAGAUAAGUGCUGAAAGCAUCUAAGCACGAAACUUGCCCCGAGAUGAGUUCUCCCUGACCCUUUAAGGGUCCUGAAGGAACGUUGAAGACGACGACGUUGAUAGGCCGGGUGUGUAAGCGCAGCGAUGCGUUGAGCUAACCGGUACUAAUGAACCGUGAGGCUUAACCUU
rnacentral:rRNA from 1 species